rnacentral:rRNA from 1 species
UACGUGGGGGGGCGAGCGUUAUCCGGAUUUACUGGGCGUAAAGCGCGUUAAGGCGGUCGGCAAAGUUGGUUGUGAAAUCUCAGGGCUCAACCCUGAAAUUGCGACCAAUACUGGUCGACUAGAGUGCAAGAGAGGAAGGUGGAAUUCCCGGUGUAGUAGUGAAAUGCGUAGAUAUCGGGAGGAACACCAGUGGCGAAGGCGGCCUUCUGGCUUGUAACUGACGCUGUAGCGCGAAAGCGUGGGGAGCGAACCGGG